UACGUAGGGGGGCAAGCGUUGUCCGGAUUUAUUGGGCGUAAAGAGCGUGUAGGCGGCCAUGUAGGUCCGUUGUGAAAACUCGAGGCUCAACCUCGAGACGCCGAUGGAAACCAUGUGGCUAGAGUCCGGAAGAGGAGAGUGGAAUUCCUGGUGUAGCGGUGAAAUGCGCAGAUAUCAGGAAGAACACCCGUGGCUAAGGCGGCUCUCUAGUACG
rnacentral:rRNA from 1 species